UACAGAGGGUGCAAGCGUUAAUCGGAAUUACUGGGCGUAAAGCGUGCGCAGACGGUUGCGUAAGUCAGAUGUGAAAGCCCCGGGCUCAACCUGGGAAUUGCAUUUGAGACUGCGUAGCUAGGGUGCGGAAGAGGGAAGCGGAAUUUCCGGUGUAGUGGUGAAAUGCGUAGAGAUCGGGAAGAACACCAGUGGCGAAGGCGGCCGGCUGGGGGCGCCCUGACGCUGAGGCGCGAGAGCGUGGGGAGCAAACCGG
rnacentral:rRNA from 1 species